AUUGAGCGCUGGCGGCAUGCCUUACACAUGCAAGUCGAACGGUAACGGGCCUUCGGGUGCCGACGAGUGGCGAACGGGUGAGUAAUGUAUCGGAACGUACCUUUCAGUGGGGGAUAACGUAGCGAAAGUUACGCUAAUACCGCAUAUUCUGUGAGCAGGAAAGCAGGGGAUCGCAAGACCUUGCGCUGAUUGAGCGGCCGAUAUCAGAUUAGCUAGUUGGUGAGGUAAAGGCUCACCAAGGCGACGAUCUGUAGCGGGUCUGAGAGGAUGAUCCGCCACACUGGAACUGAGACACGGUCCAGACUCCUACGGGAGGCAGCAGUGGGGAAUUUUGGACAAUGGGGGUAACCCUGAUCCAGCCAUGCCGCGUGAGUGAAGAAGGCCUUCGGGUUGUAAAGCUCUUUCGGCCGGGAAGAAAUCGUAUCAGCUAAUACCUGGUGCGGAUGACGGUACCGGCAUAAGAAGCACCGGCUAACUACGUGCCAGCCGCCGCAGUAAUAC
rnacentral:rRNA from 1 species